rnacentral:rRNA from 1 species
UUCAGUCUCUGGAUAUAGACCCGAAACCGGGUGAUCUAGCCAUGGGCAGGUUGAAGGUUGAGUAACAUCAACUGGAGGACCGAACCGACUAAUGUUGAAAAAUUAGCGGAUGACUUGUGGCUAGGGGUGAAAGGCCAAUCAAACUCGGAGAUAGCUGGUUCUCCCCGAAAGCUAUUUAGGUAGCGCCUCGGACGAAUACUACUGGGGGUAGAGCACUGUUAAGGCUAGGGGGUCAUCCCGACUUACCAACCCUUUGCAAACUCCGAAUACCAGUAAGUACUAUCCGGGAGACACACGGCGGGUGCUAACGUCCGUCGUGGAGAGGGAAACAACCCAGACCGCCAGCUAAGGUCCCAAAUUACUACUAAGUGGGAAACGAUGUGGGAAGGCUCAGACAGCCAGGAUGUUGGCUUAGAAGCAGCCAUCAUUUAAAGAAAGCGUAAUAGCUCACUGGUCGAGUCGGCCUGCGCGGAAGAUGUAACGGGGCUAAGUAGUAAACCGAAGCUGCGGCAAUACAGUUUACUGUAUUGGGUAGGGGAGCGUUCUGUAAGCCGUUGAAGGUGUGUUGUAAAGCAUGCUGGAGGUAUCAGAAGUGCGAAUGCUGACAUGAGUAACGAUAAGGGGGGUGAAAAACCUCCCCGCCGGAAGACCAAGGGUUCCUGUCCAACGUUAAUCGGGGCAGGGUAAGUCGACCCCUAAGGCGAGGCUGAAAAGCGUAGUCGAUGGGAAACGGGUUAAUAUUCCCGUACUGCUUAUAAUUGCGAUGGGGGGACGGAGAAGGCUAGGUGGGCCAGGCGACGGUUGUCCUGGUUCAAGUGCGUAGGCUAAGAGACUAGGUAAAUCCGGUUUCUUGUUAGGCUGAGACACGACGUCGAGCUGCUACGGCAGUGAAGUCAUUGAUGCCCUGCUUCCAGGAAAAGCCUCUAAGCUUCAGAUUAUAAGCAAUCGUACCCCAAACCGACACAGGUGGUCGGGUAGAGAAUACCAAGGCGCUUGAGAGAACUCGGGUGAAGGAACUAGGCAAAAUGGUACCGUAACUUCGGGAGAAGGUACGCUCUUAUUGGUGAAGUCCCUUGCGGAUGGAGCUGACGAGAGUCGCAGAUACCAGGUGGCUGCAACUGUUUAUUAAAAACACAGCACUGUGCAAAAUCGCAAGAUGACGUAUACGGUGUGACGCCUGCCCGGUGCCGGAAGGUUAAUUGAUGGGGUUAGACUUAGGUCGAAGCUCUUGAUCGAAGCCCCGGUAAACGGCGGCCGUAACUAUAACGGUCCUAAGGUAGCGAAAUUCCUUGUCGGGUAAGUUCCGACCUGCACGAAUGGCGUAAUGAUGGCCACGCUGUCUCCACCCGAGACUCAGUGAAAUUGAAAUCGCUGUGAAGAUGCAGUGUACCCGCGGCUAGACGGAAAGACCCCGUGAACCUUUACUACAGCUUGGCACUGAACAUUGAACCUACAUGUGUAGGAUAGGUGGGAGACUUAGAAGCGCAGUCGCUAGAUUGCGUGGAGUCGACCUUGAAAUACCACCCUUGUCGUUUUGAUGUUCUAACGUAGGCCCCUCAUCGGGGUUGCGGACAGUGCCUGGUGGGUAGUUUGACUGGGGCGGUCUCCUCCCAAAGAGUAACGGAGGAGCACGAAGGUGGGCUAAUCACGGUUGGACAUCGUGAGGUUAGUGCAAUGGCAUAAGCCCGCUUAACUGCGAGAAUGACGGUUCGAGCAGGUACGAAAGUAGGUCAUAGUGAUCCGGUGGUUCUGAAUGGAAGGGCCAUCGCUCAACGGAUAAAAGGUACUCCGGGGAUAACAGGCUGAUACCGCCCAAGAGUUCAUAUCGACGGCGGUGUUUGGCACCUCGAUGUCGGCUCAUCACAUCCUGGGGCUGAAGUCGGUCCCAAGGGUAUGGCUGUUCGCCAUUUAAAGUGGUACGCGAGCUGGGUUUAGAACGUCGUGAGACAGUUCGGUCCCUAUCUGCCGUGGGCGUUGGAAGAUUGAAGGGGGCUGCUCCUAGUACGAGAGGACCGGAGUGGACGAACCGCUGGUGUUCGGGUUGUCAUGCCAAUGGCAUUGCCCGGUAGCUAAGUUCGGAAUUGAUAAGCGCUGAAAGCAUCUAAGCGCGAAGCGAGCCCUGAGAUGAGUCUUCCCUGGCACUUUAAGUGUCCUAAAGGGUUGUUCGAGACUAGAACGUUGAUAGGUUGGGUGUGUAAGCGCUGCGAGGCGUUGAGCUAACCAAUACUAAUUGCCCGUGAGGCUUAACCAUACAACACCGAAGGGGUUUUGU